rnacentral:lncRNA from 1 species
AACCAUUUCUCGUGCCAGCCUUUGUUGCUCGAAGGGGUGCUCAUCAGGGGCCUCUUUUCGAAUUUAGAGUUUGGGCGUGGAGAUUGUUUGCUCAGCAUCUUAAACCCUCGUUCUCGGGAUCUACCGGCCGAGAAAAGGGUGAAGAAAAGGUCGACGGAGGGAGUAACCCCUAACUCAUGGCAGAAGGCAAUGAAUGCCAGUAUGUGGAUAUAGGAGUUGGGCACCAGCUGAGCAAAGCCCACUCCUAUGAAUCCUAGGAGGGUGACGACAAAGACGUGAAGGGGUAGGCGAAUCCCCUUUUCCAGAAAAGUAGCAGGCAUGGCGACCCAGCCGCCUGGUCGCUGGUACAUUCGCUCCUCCGGAGCAGGAGCCCUUAUGGCGUAAUUGUCUGGAAUCUGGUAUCGAAUCCGGAGGGCACGAAUCUCGGAUUCCGUAAUGGUAGACGGGAUGUUGGCAUGAGGAAAUU